rnacentral:rRNA from 1 species
GACGAACGCUGGCGGCGUGCUUAACACAUGCAAGUCGAACGGAAAGGCCCUGCUUUUGUGGGGUGCUCGAGUGGCGAACGGGUGAGUAACACGUGAGUAACCUGCCCUUGACUUUGGGAUAACUUCAGGAAACUGGGGCUAAUACCGGAUAGGAGCUCCUGCUGCAUGGUGGGGGUUGGAAAGUUUCGGCGGUUGGGGAUGGACUCGCGGCUUAUCAGCUUGUUGGUGGGGUAGUGGCUUACCAAGGCUUUGACGGGUAGCCGGCCUGAGAGGGUGACCGGCCACAUGGGAACUGGAUUCCGGCCCGGCCCCUUACGGAGGCAGCAGUGGGGAAUAUUGCACAAUGGGCGGAAGCCUGAUGCAGCAACGCCGCGUGCGGGAUGACGGCCUUCGGGUUGUAAACCGCUUUCGCCUGUGACGAAGCGUGAGUGACGGUAAUGGGUAAAGAAGCACCGGCUAACUACGUG